rnacentral:lncRNA from 1 species
CAAAACAGAAAAGUUUAUUUAUUUUUCAUCCGUUCAACCUACCCUCUGGGAUUUCAACAACGAUUGCCAAAGAGAACUAUUGAAAAUGUCAAAUGGUGGCACCACCAAUUCCGGCACCAAUGGCAGCCCAAUAUACGGCGACCCCACCAGCACUCACCAGACCCGUGUUCCUGACUUAAUAAACGACGCCGAGAAAUCAUUAGAUCAUGUGCAGAUUUUUUGCUAUAAUUCUUGAGAAGAUGAUGAAGUUGAUUUGCAUUGUGAUGCUAAGUAGUUGGCCGAUGACAGGAAUUGACGAUAUUGACGAGUAGAGAUGGAGGCGGUUCACUAUAUGUUGUUUGGAUAGAGAGGUUACUGGUUUGGCGAGAUGGUAGAUGCUGACUGUGCAUGUUAUAGCCGACGAUUGACGAGUUGAGUCUUGGAAUGGUGGCCGUAGGCUAGGUAUGGUUCGUAGGAUUGAGGAAGGUGUUGUAGGUUAUAGGUCGGGUCAAUGGUUGUAGAUUUGGUUGAGCUUGGUUGAUUGAGUGUAUGUAGAUUGUAACUGGGCUGUGUAUAUGUUAUAUGAGUUGGG